GCCCUUAGAGUUUGAUCCUGGCUCAGAACGAACGCUGGCGGCAGGCCUAACACAUGCAAGUCGAGCGCUNNCUUCGGAGGGAGCGGCGGACGGGUUAGUAACGCGUGGGAACGUACCCAGAUCUAAGGAAUAGCCUCGGGAAACUGAGAGUAAUACCUUAUACGCCCUUAGGGGGAAAGAUUUAUCGGAUUUGGAUCGGCCCGCGUUAGAUUAGAUAGUUGGUGGGGUAAUGGCCUACCAAGUCUACGAUCUAUAGCUGGUUUUAGAGGAUGAUCAGCAACACUGGGACUGAGACACGGCCCAGACUCCUACGAGAGGNGCGGUGGGGAAUCUUGGACNAUGGGCGCNAGCCUGAUCCAGCCGUGCCGCGUGUGUGAUGAAGGCCUUAGGGUCGUAAAGCNCUUUCGCCAGAGAUGAUAAUGACNGUAUCUGGUAAAGAAACCCCGGCUAACUCCGUGCCAGCAGCCGCGGUAAUAAGGGCG
rnacentral:rRNA from 1 species